rnacentral:rRNA from 1 species
GCAUGUGUAAGUAUAAAUAUUUGACUUUGAAACUGCGAAUGGCUCAUUAUAUCAGUUAUAGUUUAUUUGAUGAAAAGUACUACUUGGAUAACCGUAGUAAUUCUAGAGCUAAUACAUGAUAAAAUCCUCGACUUUGAAGAGGUGUAUUUAUUAGAAUGAAACCAAUAGACUUCGGUCUGUUUGUGAGUAAUAAUAACUAAUCGUAUCGCAUGCUUAGGUAGCGAUAUGUCUUUCAAGUUUCUGCCCUAUCAGCUUUGGAUGGUAGUGUAUUGGACUACCAUGGCAGUAACGGGUAACGAAGAAUUUGGGUUCGAUUUCGGAGAGGGAGCCUGAGAGAUGGCUACCACAUCCAAGGAAGGCAGCAGGCGCGUAAAUUACCCAAUCCUGACAUAGGGAGGUAGUGACAAUAAAUCACAAUGCGGAACUAUUAGUUUUGCAAUUGGAUUGAGAACAAUGUACAAAUGUUAUCGAUAAACAAUUGGAGGGCAAGUCUGGUGCCAGCAGCCGCGGUAAUUCCAGCUCCAAUAGCGUAUAUUAACGUUGUU